rnacentral:ncRNA from 1 species
CACGGGAGUCCGGUGAGCCGGGCUGAGAGGAAACUUCUCAAGUUUCGACCGUUGAACCUGAUCUGGAUCAUGCCAACGCAGGGAGACAUUCUCGAAUCCCG